AAUCCAAGUCAGAAAUACUCCUGCUGAUACAUCAGUGCUUUGAAUUUUGGAAUAGUGAUGUUUUAUUUUCAUGGAAAAGCAUGGACAGGAGGAGGGAAGAGGAGAGGAAAAAGUCUUUUUCAUCAGCAUUUAGAAAAGCAUGAAAUAAGGAGGAUUUAAAACAAAGCUACAGUCCAGUCAAUGCAGUUUCAUCCACCCUUGAUUUCACAGAUGUUUACUGAGCAAUGACACAGCAAUUCAGACUUUUGCAUCAAAGGAAUCCUGCACAAAUGCCAUGUUUUCCAUGCAAACCAGAAUGCGGAUACAGCAGUCAGUUUUCAUUCCUUGAAACCAACUAGUAUGUGAAUGGCCCAUAUAGGAAUCAAACCUAUAACCCCACUGGUCUCAUCUCAGGGUCAUGCAGAGUUCUGCUCUUUUAGGAAGCUAGAAAGUCUGCCCUUUAUCAAACCAUGAAAACCUGGUUCAUGCAACUUCAAGAAAAAUACAUCUGGGAAAAGCUGCUGAUGCCGUACCCUUUAUAAAGUAACAGAUGUGGCUUAUGGAAACCACCUGCUAAUGCCAAGUACAGAUGCUAAGAGAAAAGAGCCACCACCUCAGUGAUAGCUUACAUGAAAGUUUAAAUAAUAGACUAAGUAAAAGAAAAUAACUAAUUUUACAGAGGGAGGAAAAUAUGUCAAUAUAACCUUAACAGGAUAUACAAAUGUUAAGAUAUAUUUGCUUGGAAAGGGACUUUCUUUAUAAAACCAAAAUUAAAAUCUCAACUUUUCUUUUAAAAAUCCUAGCUCUGCUGUGGAAAAGCAGCUUGAAAUCAUGAGCAAUGAAUAAACAAUGCAGUUCAUAGAGAUUUUCAAACAGCAAAAGACUUGGAGGCCUGAGACACCUCUCUCACACAUACCAAUCCCAAGACCCAUGUUUAACAGAGGGGGACAGAGGAACAACACUUACUCAACUACCACAGCACAUAAAAGUAGAUAAAGUCUACUACUUCUUCAUGUAUGAGAGGACAACAGCAUCAAAGUCACAAGGAAUAUGUAUAUGAAAAUAUACAAGAAGGAGAACAACAAGCUCCAGUCUGCUGUUGCUUUAAUUUUAUUUUGAUAAAGCAUUUAACAUCUGUUAUACAUAAGAUUCAAUGAAUGUUUUCUACAAAAUUUACAAGUUAUCACUCUUGUCAGCAUAAACCACAUUGCUGUAUCUAAGUUCUUGUGGUUACACACAAACACAUAGAACAGCUGAUAGCACAGUCUAUAAAACAGCAAUAAGUCUUCCUUGCAAAAUAAUCCUUCCUUUGUUUACUACAAUGGGAUUAUAAAGAACAAAGGGAAUAGGGCACAGCAGAGACUAGUUAACAAAGUAAAAACCAAUAGUGACUUACUUUGUAUAAUUUCUAAAAUUAUCUGAAAGUAAUUUAAUUUUCCACAUAGCUUUCCUUUUAAACAGAAAUGGAUUUAAAAUACUCACAUCAUGAUGCACCCAUCACUUGAGCUCCUUUCUCUGCUAUUCAGUGAAGCUAUGGUCAGCAUACUGCUUAGAUCAGCCUCCCACACUAAGCCAUUUUCUGGAAAUUCUGGGUGAGAAACUUUCCCUAAAAUUCCCUCCCAGGCAUGGGCUUGCUCACCUGAGCUCUUAGGACCUCAAACUUAACUCCUCCUUCCCAUCCUAUCUUCAAGCCUCAUUAACUGCUGCAUUCCAGGAAGGCAAUUAGAGGAAUAUGUCGUGCAGCACAGCAGUAAUGAGGAAAACAACUGUAGCAGCUCAGACUGUGAUAGUAAACACCUGCACAGAUGGAAGUGUGGUUCAGCUUUGCCACCUGGGACUGCCCAGACAUUCCUUACCGCUUUCAUUUGCCAGUGGGGACAAGGUCAAGAACUCCUGAGGGGACUGAGGAAUACAUAACUGGCCAGGAGGCUUCAGGUUAUAGCUCAGAAACAAUGCAAAGCAGAAAAAAGACAAAGGGCAGCUUUUGGAUUGAUUAAUCUGUUUAGCAACUCUUCCAGGUGACAUGCUUGUGAGGGUCAUAAAAGAUGGGAAAGUUCAUUUGUGAGUCAGUAAAGACACCAAGAAAGAUUCUCUCAAAUAAUAUAUCUCUCCUUUUCUGGGCCAGAGAAGCAGGAGAAAAGUGGAGAUGAUAUUUUUAACAGCAGAAUAUAUUUUAUGUUUUGCUCAGUCCUACACAAGUAACUCCCAAACUUCAGGCUACUAUCCCUGAAGCAAAGUACUUUAAAGUUCCAAAAAGCCUUAGAAGGUAACUUGGAUGUCCCACUGGCAAGUUUUUAACUAAUAACAUUAUAACUUCACAAACGAACCAAACAAAUUUGCCAUGAAUGACUUUACCCAGGUCCCAAUCCACAAUACAUGAAGAAAUGCAAUGUCUUCUAGUCACUGGUGCAUGCUAAGAAAAGAAUCCUAUAAGAAUGCAUGAGGCUCUUCAUUGUGGUAUAAAGCACUGUUUUUUUAAAGUUCUUGUUUCCCAUCUCUGACCUAUGCAGCAGUUCUCAAAUUACACUGUGAUAAAGGAGUGAAUCCUGGGUACAUACAAAUGUGCUGAGUCCAGCUGGAUGGAGGCCACAAGAUGUAGUGGAUCAGGGAGGGAAAGGCACAAGGCAGCUGUGCUCCAGCCUGCUCCCAACAUGAUACUGCUCUGACCAUGUUGGUCACUCCCCUCCCAGAGGGGCUCCUCACACAAACAGACCUCUCUCUCUCUUCCUAUAUAACACAGGGCUGAGAUUCUCAGUAAGAGCAAUCAGCAGCCCCAAGUAGGUACUAGAAUCAUGAUGGGUUAUCGCAGCAAAGGGACAAACAUGUUUGAACCUAGCAGAACAUAAAAACUAGCAUUUGUUUCUGCUGGCUUACAUAAAAAAGUAAAAGGACAUCUCCAACACUGCAGGGGUUCCUGUAGCAUACAAACACCCAAUGCAGUAUCAAGUGAGCUACCCAAGCACAAGGAGAGCCCUGGACACAGUACUGAAAUACUUGAAUACUUUCUCAGCCAGCCACACCAUUUCCAAGUCUGGAGGUUAAAGUUUCCUAUCACAGCACCACAGCACAGAGCGCAGUGUUGGCAUCCUCCACAGAGCAAUCAAAAAAGAAAGAGGAACAACAUUCCUCUUUCACAUAGCUACAUGCUAGCAUUCAAAGUGUUUCCAUCAACAGCUUCUGACUGACAGCCAAAAAUAACAUUACACUUUCCUUACAAAAGUCUGACAUCCAAGAGACCGAGCAUUAAGAUGUCCGGAAAUAAACCAUAAAGGGAUUUCAUCGGUUCCCACCUCCUGUUUAAUACCUGAUUAUUACCUAUGGCUAUAGAAAAUUUAAUGUACGCAUUCAGGCUUCCAUAUUUCAUUCUAAUGGGGAAACAUAUUUACACAGAGCAAGUAUCCAUGUAACCACAAAGCAAGAAAUCUUUUCUAGUAUGUAGAAUAGAAAAUGUGUAAUAAAGACUUUAAAAUGCUAUUCCAGGAAAAAUAUUUGACUGAAUUUACACCCAAUAUUAUAUUUUGGUGAUAAAAAAAAAUUAUUCUGUUACAGAAUGACUGAUAGCAUUAUGAAGAACAUUGGCUACAGGCUGUUUAAACUUCAGGCAAUGGAAAAACUGCAUUUUGUGUAAUCAUGAUUGCUUUAUAUCCGAGAUAGAUUUGCCCAUAGUUGUCUAUCAAAGAAUGCACUGUGAUGGGUGCAAUACAGAUGCAGAACACAAAGACUGCUCUUUGCCUUGUGCUAAAUAACAAAAAUUUUGACAGCUCCCACUUUAACAUUUUUUUAACGUCUGAAUUUUCAGUAAUUUUUCAGAUGCAAAACCAGUGCUCAUCUGCCAUUGUAAAUUAAAUGAACAGCAGCAAUGAGGAAGUUUGCAUGGUAGUCUAGAAACAACCAACUGACCCAUAAGUUCUAGCUUUUUCCUGGAGCUUUCUAAUUUCUGGUGCUCUUAAAAGCCAGGUUUAGUAUUUUUGGCUAGAACUGAGAGUAUACAAAUUACAAUACUUCAAUCCAGUUGAACUGAAAUUUUUUUGCUGCAGGAAGUCUCCCUUUUUAAAACACCUAAAAGAUAUUAGAAGCUGUGACAAUAUGGGUACCCUGUUAGGCCAGUUGCUGACGGUGUGUAUAGAGAUGGCAAGAGGUUUGUGUGAGGACAGUAUGAAAAUAGCAUAAGAAGCUGGAAGAGAGCAGACCUUUAAGCCCACUGAGAAUUUUUUUCCACAUCUAUCAAGGUUACUCGAAGACUUCAUAUAUUUGGCAUUUGCCUCUAAGUCAUUACAUUUGAACAAUUUUGUUCAAGGUUAGACAGCAAGUUCUCAUGUCAGAGCCUUCAUAGAGAAUAUACAACCACUUCCUCUUCCCAUUUAUGAAAUAUAAAAAUCCAUCUUAAAAUGAUUUUGCUGACCUCAGCUGAGGCAGCACAGUAGAAGGAGCAACUGGCCUAUUGCCUUUGAGGUCAAACACCAUAAGAAUGGUUUCUGCCUCCCUUCCCAUCCCAUCUGUGACACCGUCAUGAGCUGAGCAGAUGGAAUUAAUUAACAAUUUCUCUUUCCAUUAGCCCCUGAGUUUCCACUCUCACCUUCAUACAAAUACUUCUGUUUCAGCCUCAGAUUAAUUCCUCCCAUGUGCAGGAACCUGCCCACCUCUCUAAUCCUAUCCUCAUCUCCAAACUACAUUCACCAAAUAGCUGGCCCACACUGACUACACCAAAGAUUUUCCUGUUUAUCACAUCUUAUCGGACAGUUACAGGUGCUGUUUAUUUCUAUAAUGACAUAUUCACUAUUAUUUUCUAUUUAAAGCAUCCCACCCCAGAAAAACCUUAAGAGAGAUCUAGUGCAACAUUCCUCACCAAGCAGGAUCUAGUGAGAGGGAAGGUAAUGAUAAAAAUCAACUAAUAUAUCCACGACUAAAGCAACACCAAGCAAUAAAAGAUUAAACUUAGCUUACUUCAAUGCUGCAACUCUUCUUAAAAUAGGCCAGUAUCUAUUAAAAUCUGUUCCAUUCAUUGCGGUACAACAAAUCAGAGCUAUAUAACCCAAGUAUGAUUUUAAACAAAAUUAUGGACAGAGUAUUUUUAAAAUCAGUCAACUUUGACUUAAAGGAAAAAUGUGUUGAAAACCUGUAAAUUAGUUUGCACAUUUCCCUUUUCUAUUAAUAUUUGCAGGUUUGUUUUGGUUGGGAUUUUAAAUUUCAUUCAAAACUUUCUAGUGUCUUUUUUGAAAAUAAAAUAAAAAAUGCAUCGCCAAAUAAGAACAAAAGACUCCAAAAUAUGCUAGUGUACUGCCGGCUAAAUGACUAGGCUAGUUUUCUGGCUGGGCAACUCUUCAAGAAUAAUUUUCUCUACUGCAUGAGAGAGUUAUUUAUCACAAAACUCCAUGCAGUCAGAAGAAAACGUGAGGGACUCGUGCCAAAAAGAAAGGCAGCAUCAAAUCAAAUACUGGCCCUUAGAGCUUGUACCACUUUCCAAAUCAUUCCUGUUUGGAGUGCUAUAGCAUUUCUUUAACACGAGGACUAAAUUACCAGCUGCUGACAUUGGGGCUGCACGCUUUUUCUCUUUCUUUUCCGCUCCGAAUUUCCAAAGCCUGCAAGGUUUUAAGCACAUGUUAUAUACAAAUAACACCAGAGCAUUGUGCUACGGCAUCUUCUUGUUUGUGGGAGUUGUUUUCCAGCUGUAACAUGUAGCUUUUGGGAUUUCCAUUGGAGCCAAGCAAGCCGGGGAGGGAGCGGAGCUGAGCGACAAUGGGAAUAUCCGGCUCUGCCUCCCGCUGGAAAAAACAGCAACAACAGAAGGGGAAGGGAAGACUCCCGGACACUGUGUGACAAUUGUCCUGUUUCGGGGAGCUCAGGAAGAGAGAAGUCAGCCGAACAGCUCCACUGGGAGACUUUUCUAAGCAAACUUUCCGAGCUAUUUAGUGGGGCGGCGAGGGGC
ensembl:lncRNA